CUUCCACGAUUCAUGAAGUUACGGGACAAUUAUAAAAUUUAAAGUUAUUGUGGGCAGUUUCCCAGACUAAAUAUGUUACGUGUGUCCCAAAGAAACUAUUAGAAAUACGUGGAAGAUGACGUCAUUGGGUGAGGCAGGCUCGCCUUGAGGCAUGCCGAAGCGGACUGGGUCUCAGUAGCUCUCAGGCGUUUGCACCAGGCGGACGAAGUCCACUCGUCUGCCAAGGAAAACGACCACGUAGCCUCGUCUCUUCCCGCGCACAUUUCAUCAGUGUUGCAAGGUUCUGAGAACCCACUCGGUCGGCUGGUGAUUGGUCGGUGUUUAGUGGUCAUAUAGCUGGCAACGCACGAGGUGAACGGGUGUUCCUGACGACUAACUACGUGGGACCAGCAUUCGCACUUUGGUCGGUGGUCGAUCUGGUUCAUCAAAUCUCCCCACCUUGGUUCAUACAACACCACAUCUCUUCAGUCAGUCAGUGAAAAAUCUUACUAACGGGAAAGUAGAACCCCUCCCUCAGCUGUGCAGGGUUCACCUGGCUGUACUCUGGAUGGGCCUAACUAGGCAGGCUGACGGUCACUCUUCCUGUCCAUGAAGUACUGGGAGUAAACUGAGUGCAGACUGAGUGAAUGAAAGGUCACACACUGAGACCAUGAGUCUAGUGGUUACAUAGAGACAUUCAUCUCCCCAGUAUUGGGUGUAUGUGAUUGAAUUAACCAAGUCCAGGUGUGAGAUCAACGCUCCUCAUGGUUGAUUGCACACGUGGGACGUAGGAGUUCCUCUCCUAGAGUUUGUGAAAGGUUGUUACUACCUUAAAAGUACGGGUACAUUCUGAACCUAUGUGUGAAGCAUGUUACGGGUGUUGGUGGAGAAAUACUCUCAUGACUCCUGAAACCUAGAGAGAGUAAUGAAAAGAACAGCGGAGCACCUGCCUGCCUGACGGGUCAUGAGUGAUUUUAUCUGUUCCUUGUAAAUGCCUGCCACUUGGCAGGUUAGUAGUUACAACCUUCAGGUUCUGGGUAGUUAGGACAGUUAAGAUUAUAGUAUUUUGUGGGUCAUCCUAUACAGGCUAUGAGUAAUCCAUGUUCUUGUGUAGUGUGACAAAAAUCGGGAUUUCUACUCCUCUGUGAUUGCUAUAAUGUUGUCGGAUGCCCUUAAGGCAUGUUCAUCGGUGCAAGUAAUAUUUUUGAAUGUUUUAUGUGCCACUAAGUGAUAUAGGAUGUACGAAGGAAUUGUUCCAGAUGAGUUCCUCGUUCUGGUGUCUGUUCUGGUGUAUGUAGUAAUGCUGCAUUAGUAGUCUUGUCAGAUCCAAUUAAUAUGUUUUAAUAAUUUUUUGGAUACCAUGUAUAACUUUUGUUUCCUAUUGUAGUGUUAUAAGCCACGCUGAGAAGUACUCUAGUGCUUGUGUACAGUACACUUACUGAUUCCAUCUGUAGUGUUGGAAGGAAUAGAAGUGUCAUCUUUUA